AAAAACAACAGAAUAAAAUAGAGACAGAAGUUUCUAGAUCCCAUUAAUGCUGUUGUUGUUUUUGCCCAAUCAACAAGAUGACUCUUCACCGCCUUGUCACUUCAUCUGCCAUUUCUUCUUCAAGACGCAUACACACUCCCGAGGGAACAUUAAUUUCAACCUUUCCUUACCAGCCCUUAUUCAGAUUCACCCCAUUUCAUAUUCUCCCUUUCUGAUCAAUCCGGCUCUCUCACUCUAUCCCUUUCCUCUUGAUCUUCUGCAUAUUCAGGGACACCCCCAACCAGGUACACAGUUAUUUUAUUCUUCAUCGUUUUUUUUUGCUAACGUAUGCACAAGACUGUUAACUGCUCUUGGGAUACAUUCAAAUCUACACUCCUUGUAUUUUGAUAGUAGCUUAUGAAUAUCGUGAAUGUAGGCAUAUACUUGUGAUUUAUCUAGGAUACUUGACUUGCACUUUUUUAUUCUUGAUAAUGAGUCUCCUUCAAUAAUGAUUUUUUCCUAUUUCAUGUCUAUGCUGAUUUGGGUCGCUCUCCGGCACGCGAGCGCCUCAGCCGCAAAGGCUGAUGUCACUUGUUGAUAGAUCUUCAAGCAUGAUAAAAGAACCUUGCGUUCACUGUCUCUAGCCACAAUCCCUACAGUCACUUGAUUAUACUUUCUGUCGUAGGCUGCGUCAAAAUUGAUCUUCACGAUCUGGUCAAGUGGCUUCCUUCACUUUUUAAUAGUUAUAGAAGAUUGUGAUUUGUUUUUAUCGAUCUCAUUCAACUCUGAUAUAUAACUAUUAACAAAUCUCCCUAAUGCUUUUAUAGAUUUACUCAUUUUUUUUGUGCACUCUGUCAUUUCUAUCUCCCUAAAUUGCCCAUAAUGCACAACAGAAUAUCCUACACUGUGAUGCUGAGUUCUUCGCAAAUACCUAGGUUAGCCACUGUACAAACUCCAACUAACUUUCUUGCAAAAAAACUUGGCAUGGUAAUUCCCUCCAUACUGAAGUUGAAAUAGGACAUUCACGGAAAAGAUGUCCAUGUUCUCUGAUCCUACUCCACAACGUGGGCAUACUGUUGUGUUUGUUAGCUUUUUUUGAAGCAUAUUAACUCGUAUAGCUAGGAAAUUCUAUGAUAUCUUCCAGAUUGUAAUUUUAAUUUUUGAAGGAAGGUUUAGAAGCCAUAAUUUUUUGUAAAAUUCCUUAUAGUUGUCUUGUAAAGCGUAAGCUCUAGGAUCAUCUUUAAUACUUUGUAAUAGUUUAUAGGCACUUCUACUGUGAAUUCGCCUGACGCCUCUGCGCUCCAAACCCGAAAAUCGUCAUGAGGUUCUUCUGCCAACGGGAUGCCAAUAAUCUUAUCGGCUACAUCCUCCGGAAAGGUAGAAGCUAUCAACUCUUUCUUCCAUGUUCUGUUACUUUGAUUAAUUAAUUAGGCAACUUUAAAAUCAUUCAAAUUCGUAAUUAAAGCUGAUAACCUGCUCUUUUUCACAUUUGGGAUCCAAAAAUCAUUACAAACUGAAAUAUGCGUACCCCUUCCCACUUUCCAACACAAACCUUCCUCUAAAGUGCCCUUUGUAGGCCAAAUGCUUUUCCAUGUAUACGAAGCAUUGUUCCCCAAUCGUGAAUCUAAGAAAUUAACAUUCGGGAAAUAUUUUGCUUUUAAAACUUGAGCUAGUAAGGAAUCUGGAUUGUUCAAGAUUCUCCACCCCUGUUUGGCUAGUAAUGAGACAUUAAAUUGAGUCAUAUCUCUAAAACCCAAACCACUUUCUUCUUUUGACCGACACAAAUAUUUCCAUUGACACCAAUGAAUUCCUCUUCUCCCAUGGGCUUUUUGCCACCAGGAUUUAGCAAAAAUGCUUUCUAUAUCUCUACAAAGCGACUUUGGUAAUAAGAAACAAGACAUAGCAUAGGUUGGAAUAGCCUAAACUACCGAAUUUAGAAAUACUUCCUUGCCUCCUUGCGAUAACAUUUUGGUACUCCAUCCUUCAAUUCUGGUGUGUAUUUUCUCUUUGAGAUGCUGAAAAGAUUCUUUUUUCCGUCUACCAACCACAUUCGGGAGACCUAAAUAUCUUUCCAUAUUUGUUGAGGUCCUUACCCCCAAAGUUGCUGAGACUUCUUCCUUUUUUACUUCUGUAGUGUUCGUGCUAAAAAAAUUAUAGAUUUAUUGAAAUUUACACAUUGGCCAGAACACUUUCCAUACAUCUUCAAGAUUUAUUUUAGCACCCUUGCCCCCUGUCUGAUGCUUCCCCAAACAGAAUACAGUCAUCUGUAAAAAGUAAAUGUGAAAUUUUUGGGCCUCUUCUACUUGCCUUUGCACCUCUUAAUGAUCCUUCCUUCAAUGCCAAUCUCAUCAAAGAUGAUAAUCCCUCGCUACACAUUAAAAAUAAAAAAGGACUUAGGGGAUCUCCUUGUCGCAAUCCUCUUGUCGACUUAAAGCUUUGUCCACUACCUCCAUUUGUAUUGACUACUUAGGACGUUGUGGAUAUACAUUUCAUAACCAACUCCACCCAGUCCUUUGCAAAACUCAUUCUUAACAUGACUUCUUUUAUAUAGCCCCAUUUAACCCUUGCAUAAGCUUUACUCAUGUCAAGCUUUACUGCCAUGUAUCCUUUUUUUCCCUACAUUUUUGUCGAAAAGUAUGCAAAAUCUCAUAAGCUAGAAGUACAUUGUCUGAAAUUAGCCUUCCCGGGACGAACGCACUUUGAGCCACCUCAAUACAUCUCCCAAUACCUACUUGUAGUCGAUUUGCAAUUAUUUUUGCCACCAUUUUAUAAAUAACUGAGCACAAACUAAUGGGUCUGAAGUUAGCUACGCUAGUGGGAUUAGGGAUAUUUGGAAUCAACACGAUAUCUGUUUAGUUAAAAGGACCAAAAUUUUCACCAUUAUUUAGUAUUCCCAAACAAAAGUUAGCAAUUUCCUUACCUACAAUGUGCCAAUAUUUCUAAAAGAAGAUUGCUGGAAAACCAUCAUGUCUUGUGCUUUAGUGGGUCUCAUUCAUUUCAAAGCCUCAUAGACUUCUUCUGCUGUAUAUUUUAAUAGUAAAUCUCUGUUGAUAUCUAUCGGAAUAUUACUUUCAAUGCCCGUUAGAAGAUAAGAAGGACCUCCUACUCCAUUUGACGUGAACAACUUCUGAAAGUACAUAGUAGCAGCUUCAUUAAUCUCAUUUACUUCAUUAGCCUCUCCUCCUCCAUCAAGUUCUAACUUUGAUAUGGUAUUAAUGUGUCUUCGAUAAGUGGCAAACCUAUGGAAAAAAGCUGAAGUCAUAUCCCCUGCUUUAAGCCAAUUUUCCUUUGUCCUUUGUUCCCAAUAAGCUUCAUCUUUAUCAAUUUCCAUAUUCAGGUGAAUUUUGGUAUCAAUAAAUUUUGCCAUUGUUUCGUCAGUCCUUUCUUGCGCCAUUAACGUAUCAAGUUGCUUCGUAAGCUUUUUCUUUAAUCCCUCUCGCCGCUCUUUUAUUGAUCUUGACCAUAUCUUUAAGUCUGCUUGUAACCUUUCGAGUUUUUCAGCAACUGUGCCUAUUCCUGAUUCCCAAGAUUCUUUAACUACUUUCUCAAUCGUUUCCUCCAUGAGCCACCACGCCUCAAAUUUAAAUUUUGAAUUGCCCUUAUAAGAAUUUUCACAUUUUGUGUUUAUAAGAAGUGGGCAAUGAUCAUACAUUGAGUGUGUUAGAUGUUUGAUGCUACCUGUUGGAAAUAUCUGCCUCCAUUUAACAUUUGCCGCUCCCGUAUCAAGUCUUUCUCUAAUAUUUGUCUCUGACAAAUUUCCCCUUUCCCAAGUAAACCAAACCCCCGAAUAUCCCAAGUCUUCUAAUAGGCAUUCUUCUAAAACCUCUCGAAGGCCUCCAUUCUACUCUCUUCCCUAGGUACACCCCCACAUUUUUCAUAAGAAUACAUGAUCUCAUUAAAAUCACCACUUACCAACCAUGGAUGACUUCUAUCUUACCCCAAUUUCUUUAGCAGAUUCCACGUAGCACUCCUAUUAUUAACAUAGGGUGAACCAUAGAACCCCGUGAGUCUCCAUUCUUCUUCAUCCUUACCUUCUUUAACCAUAACAUCAAUGUGGCUCCUAGAAUAACUUUGUAAGCUUAUUCCAAUGUCUCCUUUCCAUGCUAAACAUAAUCCUCAUCGCGAACCUUCUGCUUCAAUAUCAAUUCCAUUAGUAAAACUGCAUCUCCUUUUGACUUUUUCCAUGCGUUGCUUCUCUAGCUUUGUCUCCAAUAAGAAGACCAUAUGGGGAUUGUGUUGUUUCAGGAAAAAACACAUCCUUACUGCCCGUGGACUCCCCAAUCCAUGAACAUUCCAACUUAUGAUUUUCAUUGCGUCCGGUCGGCUUGCCUCUUGGCAGCCGCCGAUCUCAAGAAAUUUUUUAUAUCAAAUUGCACAGAACUGUCUAACAUCACAUUUGAGAAGGCUCUUUCGCAGCCCUCAAAAUCAUCUUGUUUCAAUCUUUUAGUUCCAUCCACCUCAAUAUCUUCCUUAUCACUCCUUGCAAGACCUCCUUCUGGGGACUUCCUCUUCCUCGUACUAUUCUUAGCCUUUGUUUGUAUCGCCGUGGCCAUUGGUUUUAUUCUUUUCUAGCUCGUUUUCUUUUCAGGAUUUACGUUUUUACACUCUUGUACCUUGCUACCAUUUGACUUCUCGGCCUCCUCUAUCCCAUAUAUACAUCCCUACUCCUUUAUCAUCUCCUUCCCUCCCAUCAAUUCCACAUACUCCUAUUCACCCCGAAUCUCGUUAUUCUCUUUUUCUAUUGUUUUAGAACUUUCUCUCAACACUAUUUUGCCUCCUGUGUAAGAACUUUGAACCCCCACCUUCUUCAUCAUAGCAUUAAAUUUCAUACUUUCUUUUCCAGCUAAUUUUGAUUCUGUUUUUAAAGCCAACGUAUAAGGUGGAUCAACACUAAUUUUGCUUUUCCUUGCAGGUAUUAUUUGAGUGCAAUCUUUUAUCCCGUGCCCCAUUCUUCCACAUCCAAAACAAAAUAUCGGUAGAUUCUCGUACUUGAAAGGAACCCACAUUUUAUUAACAUGAUUACUAGAGACAAAAAUACCUCGGCGUAGUGGUUUCCAAACAUCCAAAUUGAUUCUGAGCCGACAGCAAGCUUCGUUAAUUUUGGAUCUAAGAACCCCCCAAACGUAACACCAAUUGCAUGCAGGAGAUCCUUCUUAUCGAAUUCUGGUAAAUACGAAUCAAUUUUUAUCCAAAACGGUGAUGAAUUGAGUCUAAUCUGAUCUCUUUCCACCUCCUGAAUUAACCUAUUAAAUAAAAUAAUACUUUUACGGAAAAGCCAAGGUCUCCCCUCCAUAAUUAACUCCAGAUCUUCUUCCAAAUCAAACACUAUCAAAAAUAAAUUUUGUCCCACCAUUUGGAUCUCAAACUUUUUCCUUGUCUUCCAUAUACUUUUCAUUUGCGCCCUAAAACUUUCUGGGUUGUAUAGCUUUUCUGUCCAAACUGUGCAUAUCAGCGUUGGUUUAGAAUUUUGUCCCUCCCCUCUCUAUCCUCGUCACCGCUUUCCUCCAUCCCAAGCCGCAGCAGUUACUGCUUUCUCUAGGACUCUACGUAAAGCACUCUUGGGAGCAGAGAGUCUAGAUAUCUAAUGGAUGAUUAUUAUACAUAAUUAUACUUAAUUUUAUUAUUUAACUAAAAGUUUACAAAUCUAAUGCUCAUUAACAUCUCACGUCAAAAUUAGUGGCAAUUAAUGGUUAAGAUCAUUCCAGACCACUAAGCCUAUUUUGAUUAUGGAAUAUUUAUUUUUAAGGACAUGACAAUUCGCUAAUCAAGGACAUGACAAAGUUUCAAUUAAACUUUUUCAUUGUACUUGCUCUACAAUUAAGUCCCCUAAUUAUUAUAAGACAAUUUAAUUUAUUUACUUCGGUUCUAUUUAUUAAUCCCACAUCCAACUUACUAAUUUCUCAGAUUUUCAAAUUUUAAAUUACUCGAUUUAAGAAAUGCAAUCUUGAACUGGUUUUCCGACAUCAACAACAAUCGAGUCGUUACGUGAACUUUAUCCACGCACCAAAAAACAUCAACAGUCCUAAACUCUUAAUCAUCAUCUUCGCUACCAACGUCCAGUUUGGAGAGGCAAAGCGGUUGUCUGAGACUAUUUGGCGACAUAGGAGAUCGGAGAUAGUACAACCACAAAAACCUUCAGGCGGAAAUAUAACUUAUAGAACUGCUGUGCGAGCUCGAAGCACUAGGGGUGGUGGAAAUAUAGAGUACUUUUAACUCCUUUAUAAAGCCUAAAAACUAAACCGAAUAACUUCUAUUGCAUAGAUAAAUAGAUAGAUAUUUGUUUCUUAUUGAUUGAGCAAACUUGAUUACAAGAUCCAAAUCAAUGACAGAAUCUGCUACCGUAGCAAGCCCAUAAAAUCAUCAAAUCAAACAACAAAAUUCAGUUAAAAAAGAGGGG
rnacentral:lncRNA from 1 species